GUCCUAGGAGAGACAUCAACAUUUUUGUUUCAUUUUUGAAUUUAUUUGCAUUCAAUUUACAUUUAAUGUAUUUUUAUUUUUAAAAUUGAUCUUUUUCUUGUUUCUAUUUUGUUUUAAAUUAUUUUACAACGUUUCAACUCAAUUGGUUUUAAUUUUAAAAUUAAUGAUGUCUCUUCUCGGACAUGACGAUUUAAAAAAAAAACCUCAUGUCCGAGAAGAGACAUUACGUCACAGAUUAAGUAUGACCAGAUGUGAAUCUUAAUAGGACUUCGUCACAGAAUAAAGACAUACAGAAGGUAGACUCGAGUAACUGCUGCCACGCCAUAAUUCGUCAUCAAAAUACUGAAGCCAUGGUCCUAGCCAGUGCGCUUAUGAGAGGCAUUCCCCCCUGGACUUCCGCCAUUUUGAAUAUUAUCAGGGGGGUGAAUGCUUCUCAAACGCGCACUGGCUAGGGCAUGGCGUCAGCAUUUUCAUGACGAAUUACGGUUACGCCAAAAUCAUUGGAAAAUCAUAGGAAAAACCAAAAAGUUGGGCAACUGUGUAGCCUAUUCUGUGACUUCGUGCCCUCAAAUUUCCCUAGAUGCACAUACACGUCAUGCUCAUGCCAUCAUGGCCAUCACAUUUGGUAGCAAAAUGGCGUCCUGAAAAACACGAACUUUUGCACUUUAUUGCGGCCUUUUUGGGUCGAAAUUUUUGGAUUAAACAAUCAAUGUUGAAUGUUGUUGAAAAGUGUUGAAAGCAUUUUUAAAAGCAAGACGUAUUACCAAAUGAC